rnacentral:rRNA from 1 species
CCCGCCGGCGACCGGCGCACGGGUGAGUAACACGUAUGAAACCUGCCCGUAGCAGGGGGAUAAGCGGAAGAAAUUCCGUCUAAUACCGCGUAACAACCCAUGGAGGCAUCUCUGUGGGUUUAAAGGAAGCGAUUCCGGCUACGGAUGGUCAUGCGUCGCAUUAGCUUGUUGGCGGGGUAACGGCCCACCAAGGCGACGAUGCGUAGGGGUUCUGAGAGGAAGGCCCCCCACACUGGUACUGAGACACGGACCAGACUCCUACGGAAGGCAGCAG